rnacentral:rRNA from 1 species
UAGUCCACGCCGUAAACUAUGGACACUUGGUGUCGGAGGUAUUGACCCCUUCGGUGCCGAAGCUAACGCGUUAAGUGUCCCGCCUGGGGAGUACGGUCGCAAGAUUAAAACUCAAAGAAAUUGACGGGGGCCCGCACAAGCGGUGGAGCAUGUGGUUUAAUUCGAUGCAACGCGAAAUACCUUACCUGGGUUUAAACUGUAAUGGACAGCUCUAGAGAUAGAGUCUUUCUUCGGAACUGUUAUAGAGGUGCUGCAUGGUUGUCGUCAGCUCGUGUCGUGAGAUGUUGGGUUAAGUCCCGCAACGAGCGCAACCCCUACCUUUAGUUGCCAGCAUUUAGUUGGGCACUCUAAAGGGACUGCCGACGUUAAGUCGGAGGAAGGUGGGGAUGACGUCAAGUCCUCAUGGCCCUUAUGUCCAGGGCUACACACGUGCUACAAUGGAGAAUACAAAGGGUUGCCAAGCCGUAAGGUGGAGCUAAUCCCAUAAAAUUCUUCUAAGUUCGGAUUGAGGUCUGCAACUCGACCUCA